rnacentral:rRNA from 1 species
CUGCUGCCUCCCGUAGGAGUCUGGGCCGUGUCUCAGUCCCAAUGUGGCCGUUCAACCUCUCAGUCCGGCUAUGGAUCGUCGACUUGGUAGGCCGUUACCCCACCAACUAUCUAAUCCAACGCGAGCCCAUCCUUCGGCACCUCAGUUUUGGUAUUUCUAUCAUGCGGUAAAAAUACGUUAUGCGGUAUUACUGUCCGUUUCCAGACACUAUCCCCCUCCGAAGGGCAGGUUGCUCACGCGUUACUCACCCGUCCGCCACUCAGU